UCGAAGCUCUGCGGAGGGCUAAGUUCAAGUUCCCUGGCCGCCAAAAGAUCCACAUCUCCAAGAAAUGGGGCUUCACCAAGUUCAAUGCUGAUCAGUUUGAGGAUAUGAUCUCCGAGAAGCGGCUCAUUCCCGAUGGCUGCGGGGUCAAAUACAUCCCUAACCGAGGCCCCUUGGACAAGUGGCGAGCCCUCCACUCCUGAGGGCUGGCCUGUGGCCACCGUCUGUAUCUGUCAGCCUUUGUGCAGCCAUAAAUAAAGAGAUAACUGCUUUCUGGUCA